rnacentral:lncRNA from 10 species
CCCAAAGAAAAAAACAAAUGUUACCCAAUAGGCAAACAAUGCUGAGAGUUCACUUCCUCUAACUCUGUAGUUAAGUUACUCACUCAGUAUAACAUCACCCUCCUGCCAGGGGUUGAAGUCAGGAAGUAGUUUAUUUUCGCUGAAACUGAAGGGGGAAGUUAAAGAGAAAAAUAGCUGCAACUUGGUCAAUUCAGGAAAACCAGGUACGAAAAAAGAGGAGCAAGUUAAAGGGAAAGCCAGCUCGGAUUUGCUCACCAGUAAAAGGCAAAAAUCCCAGUGUUAUUCAUCUGCAUUUGGUGUGAAAGACAAAAGCUCAACUGGGAUCUGAGGCUUUCUGUGUCAGAGGGCAAGGAGUCAAUGGGGUUAUGAGGAAGUAAGACCACUUGAGACAUCAAAGAAAAGUAGAUCAAAUCACUAGACUCCUCCAAACAGGAGUGGGUGAAGACAAAAAGUGGAGAGAAUCCAGAGGGAAGAGAGGAGUAGGGAAAAUGGUGGAAAGGGAAGGUUUUUGAGAUGGAAGGCAGAGAAUGGGAACAAAAGAAGAAAAAGCUGUUUGUUUCAAAUCAAUAUUCUCCAAGAGGAUGUCUUGUUUCCCCAGGGAUAUUCUGAGGGACUCACAGGAUCAGAGCUGCGACACUUCUAACAUAUGAAUUCUCUCAAUUCUGAUGCCCUUUGACCUCUGCCACACAAUGCCAAGACAAACCCAGACCCCAGGCCCUGGAAACAGAGGAGGGGCAGGACGUGAUAGAGCUUCAGCAACAUGGAGAGGAGAUAGCCGGUCUGGCUAGGAUGGAAGAAAUGUACAUGGAGAAGAAAGACAGAAGAACCAUCACUGAGCACUAAACUAAUCAGCCAUAAUGUGUAAGCCACUUUUAUGAAUUUUUUUCCUUCCUUCCUUCCCUCCUUCCUUCCUUUCUUCUUUCCCUCUUUCCUUUCUUCUUUCCUUCUUUGAUACAAAGUCUUGCUCUGUUGCCCAGUCUGGAGUACAAUGGUGUGAUCACAGCUCAUAGCUCACCGUAACCUUGAACUCCUAGGCUCAAGGGAUCAAUCCUCCAGCCUCAGCCUCCCAAGUAGCUAGGACUUAUAGGUACGUGCUACCACACCAGCUAAUUUUUUAUUUUUUGUGUAGACUGGAUCUCGCUAUGUUGCCCAGGCUAGUCUUAAACUCCUGGGCUCAAGCGAUCCUUCUGCUUCAGCCUCCUGAGUUGCUGAGGUUAUAGCUGUGAACCAUUGAGCCUGGCCCCUGAAUUUUCCAUUACUUUCUGUUGAGAGUACCCUCACUGAUAUGACAUUGUAUACAGGUUUGGUAGAAAUAUUUUCGGAGCAAUUUAUGUUAUCUCUGAUCACUUUUUACAGGCAGAUUGACUGGCAAGCCUAUCACCACCUUGAUAACAGAUGACAUUAAAGAGAAAGUAUCAAUGUGAGGAUUAAAUGGGAUGAAAAAUAAAACAUCUGUCGGAGUGCCUGGAAUAUGAGCCUAGUAGAGCACCCAGCACACAGUAGGCUCUUAAUACAUGCUUGGGAUGAUUGAGGCAUUUUCUUCCACCAUAUUCCAUGAUCUUCUAGCCCUGGGGGUGCAGAGAGAUUACCUGGCCAAGAAGACUAGGGGUAAAGUACUUUUCUUACCUGGUAAGUGGUUUGGGAGUUAGGAAAACAUGAUGUCUGGCCAACCCCUUUCCUAAAGGAGUUUAUGUAUCCCAAUGCCCCACCCACCACCCGCCUCCACCACACACCCAGCGUUUGUUGCUUGUAAUGGGUCAAUACAUCAAUGAAUUGAUGAAUUGUAAAGGAAAAAAAAUACAUGCUUGGAAAAUGAAUUUAACUAAACAAGAUUGAAUGUAGCCCAGCUCUUUACUCACAGAGCUUGAAGGCUCAACUCGCCACAACCCCCUGGGGAGAGAGGAAAGACAUGGCAUUAGUUCCAGCGCUGUUAGUGCUAGCUAUUGCAACAUCAGAAGUAUCAAAAUUCAACUGUCUGGUGCCAAUGGCAAAACCAAUGCUUACCAAAUACAUUAUAAUAAUAAAUAUAACUUUAUAGGUCUCACAGAUUUAUUUAUGUCUGCAACUCUAAACCUGCUCCCAGCCCCCAGUCUCCAGAAACCAAGCUAGCUGGCCUUUUGGAGAUGAAAAUAGCAUCAGGCAUCAAGGGUGUGCAUUUAUGAGCAGGACAGGAGGGUGGACUAGCACCUGAACCUUAAUGCAUUCCUUAAAAGUUUUCAAUGGGAGCAUGAGUCAGGGGUGCCACCUGGAGAGAACCGUUCUCAGUAAAAGAAGGACAAUGUUUACCUUCAACUACCCAAUUUUUUGCUUCCAGGAGAUGUAACACACAGAUUGCCUGUAACCAUGGCAAUCAGCUCAGCUGUGAGCACCCUCAUUUAUUCAAAGCACAGAGGCAGUAUAAGAGAGAAAAUACUAUUACAAAUAGGAACAAUAAGAUUUAAUGUCAGAUGCCAAAAUAUGAUUGGUUCAGUAUUUGAUUCCCAGCCAUAUGAAGCACAUUACACUUUCUUGGUUUCAUCUGCUCUUUCCUGAUCCUCAAGGGUAAUAUUAAUUUCAAUUUCUUCCAGAAACAAUGAUUGACUUGUUUCUAGCACUAUCUUGGGAGUGAAAUAAAAAUUUUGGAAAAAUACAUUCUCAGCAAUGCACUGUGUGCAACAGAGUUGAGAUAACCAUGCCAAAAACUAUAAGGAAAUGUCAACAUACACUUAAAAAAAUAACUUUUGAUGGAGUUUUUUUAGGGAGGUAUUCAACUUCUCGUGAAUAAGUAAUAAAGGAUGUAUACUAUAUACUGUAUUUACUGGUUCUUCUCCCUAAUUUCAGUCUCUUUACACUCCUGGAAGAAAAAAAGUAUUAUGGAGGCUACUUUACAAUCUUCUAAAAUAGAGUAACAGAAAACCUGUUCUUGAUUUUCAAGGAAAUUACUUAUAACUCAUCAAGUUACUAAACUUCAGUUAUUGCAAAAUUUAUUAACUGUAUCCUGAGAUUUCCACUGAUAAAACUCAACUAAUGUAUUUCACAGGUACACAAAUAUCCAAGAUUGGAAAGAAGAAAGAAAAUGACGACAGAAUUUUGCAGUCUACAAGGCAAACACUGCCAUUCAUGUAGUUAUGGAGUUCCUACUAUGUGCAGACAAUGGGAAACUUUACGAAGAGCAGGUAUUCAUGGGCAACAAUUUAGGAAAUGAUACAGAAAGAAAGGAAGGCUGGAAAGACCAAAGAAAAACAGCUACAGUUUUGCCAAGAACCAGCCCCACGCUUCAUGAGAAUUGUGAUACAUUUACAUUUGGCUUUUAAUUUCUGUAUCAAUUUGGACUGUGUUUUUGUGAAAAUGAGAUAAUAUAUGUGAAAGUACCUAGCUGAAUUCUUGGGAUAUGGCAAAAACCCAAUAAAUAUAAGUUUUUACUACUGUGUUAAGCAUCUUCUUGUCGUAAGCAGAAUUUACCCAGUUGAUAAGGAAAAGAUAAAGCUUAGUUGAGCCAAUUAGCAUAAAACAUUUC